UCAUAUAUGUUAACGUACUAUAGAAGAUAAAUUCUGAAUGACUCCUCAUUGCAUUAGUUUAUCAAUUUCACACACUGUUAACACCUUUAUUAACCAGUUUAGUUAACUGUUAUUCCAACCAAUAGUGUAUAUGGCUAAAUACUAGUACUGUAAGUAGCACUAUGAUUGAUGAUUAAGUAUUACUAGGGGGACCCUAAUUUAAAGAAGCAAGCCAAGGUUUUGAGUCUAGAGGGAAUGGCUCACCUUGUAAAGCCAUUGAUGAUGACAGGCAGAGCAUGUUGUUUCAUCAGACCAAAAUAAGGUUUAAUUUGCUGGUUUGUUUAAAAAUCUGACCAAUGGACUGAACUUUAUUAUUAUUAUUAUAUAGGUUAUUAUCUUUUUAGCACAUUCCUCCAUAUUUACUAUAAAUGUUUUAGAUUCAAAAUUUAAUGUUUGUCAUGUGCACAGUGAGAAUGUUCCAUGUACAGUUAAUCCCAAAAGGAAAGUGAUAUAAACUACUGAUAAAUGUUAAAAAGUUUAUUUUUAACAUGUUUAAUAGUAAUAUGGACUUGUGGUGGAAAUUUUCCAUAAAGAAGCAGAUGAGAGAGUUGUCCUUUUGUGCGAUUUAUUGAAAUAAUAAAGAAAAUAAAAAUAAUGGGGAAAGCAAAUAAAAAGCAUGGAUGUUGAUCGUGGACAUCAACAAACCAAAAACCAGCUGGGGAGAUCAGUGCACACACCACGAAGGUGUGAUGCAAAGAGCCUACGAUCCUCAAGUUGCUUCUGCCUUUUAUCCCCUUUAUCUGGCUCUGGUGGAUUGUCUCUCUGCAGCAAUGGAAUUGUUUGCGCCACCUUAUCUCGCUGUGAGUGAGAAUGUUUGCUUUCUCACUUCUGCAUCGUAAUGUUUUGUUAUCCAAAGGAAGGAACACCGAGCUUACAAGAGAAGAUACAUUUGCUUUAACAGCCUUGGGUCUGGUGGGGAGUCAGAUAGGAUGACUAGCAAACAUAUAUCAUAAAUUACUAGUCAGUCAAAUGGAACAUCAGAUGUUUAGACUUGAUGUACAACAGGGCGCAAGAGAUUAGUUGUUUGUGUAAGAAUGUUCAGUAUUGCACCUAACCAGCACAUGACGAGUGUGUUGGAUAAGAAAUAGCACAAGGUAAAUUUUUUCCAUUACAGACUAUGUACGUCCAUGUUUGUAAGUCUAUAUCGUUUUUUUACGGCCCUGGUCAAGCUGGCAUCCGUUUACAACAGCUCCUGUCCUCUUCGUUCUACUUAAUACUUUCUUUACUCAUUUAAGCUUAUUCUUGUUAUGUUUUCCAUAAAAUAUAAAAAUAAGACGUGGGUAGUAGCAAGGUUUUAAUCAACUGUCUUCAGCCUAGUUUUACAGGAUACCACCACGUUUUGUUGACUUCUCUACCCUUUGUACUGUCUAGCGCUAGCUUUGCCAAGUACCGCCUCCUACACGUACUGAUAAUAUUACUCUUAUCAACACAAUUCUCUCUCGUUUUUGUUAGGUAUAUUACUGUGCAUAACUGUACACAGCUUGUAUAGCUUUUUUCUAAAUUUGAGUAGUACAAACGCUGUUAAAAGCGAUGAUGUGCUGGACCAGAGCACGCAUUGCUCACACCACGGAGCAGCUGAUCGCGCAGCGCCGCAGCUCUCACCAGGGACAGACACAAUAAUCCCGCUGAACUCGUAGUGAAGACCCACAGUGGGUGCCGCGCCAGAAAACUACGUCAAGAUAAAACGAGACGCUUCAAACCCGCUCUCCUGUCCGUCAUCAUGGAUAACGUGAGAUCUCUCCCAAACAAGAUGGACGAGCUUGCGGCGCUCACAGCAUCAGGUGGAGUACAGGACGUGCAGCGUCCUGCUGUUAACGGAGACCUGGCUGAUUUCAUUCAUCCUGGACUUGACUGUUGCACCGGAUAAUUUUCAUCUACUGCGUGCGGACAGAACAGAGGACAGCGGUAAGAGGAAUGGAGGGGGCUGGCUGUGUUUGUGAAUGAGAUGGUGUAAACCAGGACAUUGCACUAGCAAAAUGAAACUGUAACAGAGACAUUGAGCUGUUAGCUGUGGUCAUGAGGCCAUUCUGCCUGCCACAGGAGUUUACACACGUUAUAAUAAUUGUUGUGUACAUCCCACCCGGGGUCAGCUAACGCUGACACAGCCUCUGAGACCCAAAAACAGCACCCACAGGCCCUCUUCCUGAUUUCUGGGGAGUUGCACUUAUUCUACGCCAACACCAAAGUGGCUUACAGUGCAUCCUUUCUGCCAUCCCUGGCCAAAGCUGACCACAACACCCUGCAUCUCCUGCCUGUGUAUAAAACUGUGGUACACCUCCCUGUUCACUGAUCUACAAGGAACAGGGGGGAGCUGAGGAGGGUGCAGAAGAAGUUCAGGAGGAUUUUUUGUGAGGGGAAGGCCAGCUACAGGAGGAACACGGAGAAGCAGCUGCAGCGGAACAACUUCAGUGAGGUGUGGAGAAGCCUGAAAACCAUCUCAAAGUUUCACACCCACAAGCUGAGGGGGACCUGAGCUGGGUCAACAACCUGAACUCACACUUCAAUAGGUUUGACAAAGAAAACACUUUUAGCUUUUAACACUAUACAGCCAGUACUUCUUAAACACAAACAGGAGGAGGCUGGUGUGGACUUCCACCUGACUGAGUGGAUUGUGGAAUACCUCACAUCUGAACAAUAAACUGGACUGGACUCAUAACACAGAUGCACUGUACAGGAAGGGUCAGAGCAGGCUCUACCUGCUGAGGAGUCUGCGGUCUUUUGGGGUAAGGGGGCCACUCCUGAAGACUUUCUAUGACUCUGUAGUGGCAUCAGCCAUCCUGUACAGUGUGGUCUGUUGGAGCAGCAGCAUCACAUUGAGGCACAGGAAGAGACUGGACAGGGUCAUCAAAAAGUCCAGCUCUGUCCUGGGCUGCCCUCUGGACACGUUGCAGGAGGUGGGUGAGAGAAGGAUCCUUGCUAAACUGACAUCCAUCCUGAACCAGGACUCUCACCAACUUGGGGACUCACUAUCUCCUCUGGAGAGCAGCUUCAGUAGUAGACUGACCCACCCUCGCUGUGGAGAGGUAUCGCAGAUCUUUUUUUCCUGCUGCUAUCAGACUCUACAGUCAGGACUGGUAACUGCAUUUGCUCUGUUUAUGGAUAUGUGUGCUGUUAUGGAUGUGUGUUCGUAUGGUAGGUACAGUAUGGUUUCUCUCUCUUAUGACUGUAUGUGCAAAGUAAGUGCACAAAAAUGGCAUAAUAUAGACAGAAAUGUUAAAGCAGUGGUUGUAGACACUGUAACAAUAGUACAGUCUGUGCAAAUGUGUUUUGUGUGCAUAUUAGGACUGAGUUCCUUAGACUGGUAGUCCUACAUUUGACACUGCAUUACUUACAACCUAAAGGUAGGAGUCCAUGUUGGAGGACAGUGUGAUCCAUGAUGGGGGCAGCACUGGCAGUGCUGUGGCCUCUGCUGUAGUAGACACCCUCCAGAAAGGAUAGGGGAGUCAUGUUGAUGUUCUCAGCACUGUCUUCACUAUCUGCAGGUAUUUACUGUCCUUUCUACCAAACCGAAAGACUGGAAGGAAACCUGUGUCCUCUUACAAUAUUUUCCCCACUCAGCAACACACCUGCUGGGAGACCACUGGUGACUCCAAUGUCCGAAAGGGGAAGUUAGAGAAUCCAGCGGUCAUAGUUAAAUGUUUGCCUGGGGCCAGAGCGGGCAACAUUGAGUCUUAUCUUAAGCUCCUGUCUAAGGAUAAGCGUAAGUAUGGUAAGAUCGUAAUACACGCAGGAGCUAAUGACGCCUGGUUACGCCAAUCGGAAGUCACUAAAACUAACAAUGAGUCGGUGUGUUCGUUUUCCAAAAAAAUGUCAGUCUCCGUAGUUUUCUCUGGACCCCUCCCCAAUAUGACCAGCGAUGACAUGUAUUGGUGGCUGUCAUCGCUUCACCGCUGGUUGUCUAGGUGGUGUCCUGCAAACGACGUGGGCUUUGUGGCUAAUUGGAGCAGUUUUUGGGGAAAACCUGGGCUGAUUAGAAUAGAUUGCAUCAUCCCACGUUGGACGGAUCUUCUCUGCUCUGAGUUGACAUGGAGUAGGGAGGCUAAGCAACAUGGUCAUGUUACUAGAGUGGAGCCCAGGACGCAAAGUCACAGUCUUACAUGCCUCUCUGCAUGUUCUCUACAGACACCACCCCCUCUUAGUCGUAGUUAUCGCAUAGAGACUGUGUCUGCUCCCCAACCCCCUAAACUAUACAAAUCACUUAAAAAUCAAAGAGGAGUGACUUACCAGAAUUUAAUAAAAAUCAAAACGGUUCCUAUUACAGAACAAAGUAACAGUAAGCUAAUAAAGUGUUUUCAUAAAUAUCAGAUCUCCCUCAUCUGAAUCCUUUUUAUUAAAUUACUUGAUAAGUGACCAUCUGUUCUGUCCCACUGAAGCCUGGCUGCAGCAGGAUGAAUAUGUUAAUUUAAAUGAGUCAACUCCAUAGAGUCACAUCAACUAUCAUGUUCCUAGAAGUACAGGUCGAGGUGGAGGAGUAGCAGUAAUUUAUGACUCAGAUUUACUAAUUACUCCUAAACCCAAACAUAGUUAUAAUUUAUUUGAGAGCCUCACUCUGAGUCCUAACCCAGACUCUUUUUUGUAUUUGUUUAUCGUCCUCCUGUUCCAUAUUCAGAGUUCUUAACUAAAUUCUCUGAAUUCUUAUCUGGCUUGGUUAUUAGCCCAGUUAAAGUCAUUGUAGUGGUAGACGUUUAACAUUCCUGUAGAUGUUGACAGUAACUGUCAGCACUUUAUGAAGAGGUUGGCUGUCUUGUUGAACACAGUGGCUUCUCUGAAGAAGAAGGCAGUGAAUCAGAGGAGGUUAGCUCCAUGGUAUAACUCAGAAAUCCACAGCCUAAAGCACAGGACAAAAGCUUAUGUACCAUAGCAAGGUGGCUGUGGUCAAACCUUUAUUGAAUAAACCUACUCUGAACCCAGGGGAACUAGCCAACUAUGGGCCCAUUUCAAAUUUACCUUUUAUUUCUAAGGUUCUUGAAAAAAUUGUGACCAAACAAUUAUCUAACCACCUUAGUGGGAAUAACCUGUACGAAGAUUUUCAGUCUGAAUUUAGAAAACAUCAUAGCACAGAAAAAGCUCUGGUUAGAGUCACUAAUGAUCUUCUCUUAGCUUCAGACAAUGUUCUAGUUUCUGUCCUUGUCCUGUUACAUCUUAGUGCUGCAUUUGAUACAGUUGAUCAUAACAUUUUAUUAGAGUCGAGACUGGAACAGCAUCAGACUUAAAAGUACAGCACUGGGAUGGUUUAAAUCCUAUUUGUUGAACAGGUUCCACUUUGUUCAUGUUAACGACAAAUCCUCCAUAUGCACAAGGAUUAACUUUGGAGUACCGGCGGGUUCUGUGCUUGGUUCAAUACUAUUCAGUCUAUACAUGUCUACUCUAGGUGAGAUUAUUAGGAACGAUAUUAGGACAAUCUAUACAUUUUCAUUGUUAUGCAGAUGAUACUCAGCUAUAUAUGUCUUUGGAACCAAAUGAAACAGAUCAAAUAGUCAAAAUUCUGAGUUGUUUAAAAGUCAAUUCCUGGAUGUCCCAAAACUUCCUUCAACUAAAUUCAGAUAAAACCGAAAUUCUUAUCGUAAAAAUCAAAGACACUAUUGUGUUACAAAGCCACCCUGGAUAGCAUAACUGUCUACUGUGAGGAACCUAGGUGUCAUCUUUGACCAGAUCAGGCUUAAAACUUUCCUUUUUGAUAAAGCUUAUUGUUAGAGAUGGUUCAGGUCACUGUCCAUGAUUGUUAGUCACAGGGACCAUCUCUUAGUUAAGCUGCAAUAGACAUACACUGUUGGGGGACUUAAUUUAUACACUGAGCUCCUCUGUUUUCUUCUAUCUCUUCCAUCCAAAAAGGCUUGCUGUAUGUGGGAUCUGUUGUGUUUAGUUGUGUAAAGUCUUGAGAUAACCUUUGGAGCUAUAUAAAAAAAAUAUUUGAAUUGAACCAUUACAGUAGUGCUGCUGUGCCAUAUGGUGAUACAGCUCAAGGAUGCUUUAAAUAGUGCAUGUUUAAAAGUUACUGACAAUCUUUGGUGACAAUUUCAUCAGUCUCCUUAGGAAGUGCAUCUGCUUUGUAUUCAAGUGAGGUCUUUACUUAUAUGGACCCCCAGGUAAUUAAAGCUGCGCAAUGUCUUCACUUCAAGCUCCUGAAUAAACAUUAAUGAGUUCUCCUUAUUUUACUCAUGUCUACUAUCAUUUCCUUUGUCUUUCCCAUGUUAAGGGUGAGGUCCUUGCACUCUCUCACCAGACUGCUCACCUCCCUCCUUAAGGCUCAUUCUCAACAGUGAUCUAUCCCAUCACUGCGGUAAUGUUGGCAAACUUCAGGAUGGUGUUUUUUGGGAUGCGAUACAGUCAUGUAUGACCAGUGUUUAGAGGAUGAAACUGAGAACACACCUUUGUGGGGAUGCCAGUAUUCAUGUAGUAAUGGCUCAUCUUCUACUUUUAAGUCUAACAGACUAUAGUCUACGAGUCAGGAGGAUUGGAAGCCAGUGAGUGGGAGUGUAGUCCAUGUUUGAAGAGAUUUUGGCGGAUGACUGUGACUCAGUUGAUAGAACCUUGGCCUCGGAAGGCAAAGGUCCGCAGUUCAAUCCCUGUUUCAGCAUCAGAUGUGUUCUUGAGCCACUUCACUUGAGCCACUUCACACAACCUCCCCAUGCUCCUUCUGUGUGACCACUUGUGCAUGUAUGGGUUAAAUGCAGUGAAAUAAUUUCCCCAAGGGGAUUAAUAAAGUCUGCCUUAUGUCAUAAAAUAUAGAGCUAAAAGCAAAAAAAAGUUCCUCUACUUUUCCUAUGGGUUUUACCGACUUAAAGUUUCGCCAAGAUCCUUUUUGGAGAAGCAGUGGCUCUAUAUCGGACAACAUGUAAGCUCCUGUCAGGCAUCAUAGCAGCCAGGAUGAGCAGACACAUGGACCAAUACAUGAGCAGUGCCCAGAAAGAAAUUGGUAGUAACACCAGGGCAGCAAAACACCAGCUACUGGUAGACAAAGCAGUCACCUAAGACUGUAAGACCAGACAUGUCAACCGAAGCACUGCCUGGAUGGACUACAAGAAAGCCUAUAACUCAAUGCCUUUCACAUGGAUCAUGGAAUGCUUGAAACUAUACAAGAUCAACAGGACCCUAAGAACCUUCAUCUAGAACUCAAUGGGAAAGUGGAAAACAACCCUAGAGGCAAACUUCAAGCUGAUUGCCCAAGUCAACAUCAACUGCUGCAUAUACUAAGGAGAUGCUCUGUCCCUGCUGCUGUUCUGCAUAUUACCAAACCCCCUGAUCAUCAGGGGGCCAGAUCAUCACCAAGAUGGAAGCCACUGAUAUCAAGACAAGGAAGCUCCUUACAAUGCAUGGGGGGUUUCCCCCCAAAACCACCACCCUGAGACUGUACGUCAAGCGGAAGGAAGGAGUGUGUGUGUGUGUGUGUGUGUGUGUGUGUGUGUGUGUGUGUGUGUGUGUGUGUGUGUGUGUGUGUGUGUGUGUGUGUGUGUGUGUGUGUGUGUGUGUGUGUGUGUGUGUGUGUGUGUGUGUGUGUGUGUGUG